CGGCUCUUCUCCUUCCUGCCACCUUGUGAAGAAGGUAUCUGGCUUCCCCUUUGCCUUCUGUUAUAAUUGUAAAUUUCCUGAGGCCUCCCCAGCCAUGUUGAACUCUCAGGGGUCUGUGCUAGAGGAAGACACACGAAGGCUACUGUGCCCCCACCACAAGAGAGGGAAACAGGGAGACGCGUGGGUCUGGAGCCAAGCGUAUCUCUCUGUACCCAUCGCACACGAAUUUGAAUCAUCUGCUCUUUGGAAUCGCCUACACCCUGCUGCACCCACGAUGUGGCUGUAACUCCAUUAAAGAAUUGAAUAUCAUCUUCCACGGAAUCUCUGUCUGCACAAAAGGGGCACAUUUAAUUUUCUGUUUUUUAAAUAAAGGUUUAAAAAAUCCUUUUGCAAAGC
ensembl:lncRNA novel transcript